CGGGACGGGUGAGUAACGCGUGGGUAACCUGCCUCAUACAGGGGGAUAACAGUUAGAAAUGGCUGCUAAUACCGCAUAAGACCACGGUACUGCAUGGUACAGUGGUAAAAACUCCGGUGGUAUGAGAUGGACCCGCGUCUGAUUAGGUAGUUGGUGAGGUAACGGCCCACCAAGCCGACGAUCAGUAGCCGACCUGAGAGGGUGACCGGCCACAUUGGGACUGAGACACGGCCCAG
rnacentral:rRNA from 1 species